rnacentral:rRNA from 1 species
GACGAACGCUGGCGGCGUGCUUAACACAUGCAAGUCGAACGGAGAAGCUCCAGCUUUCUGGAGUGGACGAGUGGCGAACGGGUGAGUAACACGUGAGUAACCUGCCCCUGACUUUGGGAUAAGCGCUGGAAACGGCGUCUAUAACUGGAUACGAGAAGUGUCAGCAUGUGGACUUUCUGGAAAGUUUUUCGGUUGGGGAUGGGCUCGCGGCCUAUCAGCUUGUUGGUGAGGUAUUGGCUCACCAAGGCUACGACGGGUAGCCGGCCUGGGAGGGCGACCGGCCACACUGGGACUGAGACACGGCCCAGACUCCUACGGGAGGCAGCAGUGGGGAAUAUUGCACAAUGGGCGAAAGCCUGAUGCAGCGACGCCGCGUGCGGGAUGACGGCCUUCGGGUUGUAAACCUCUUUCAGCAGGGAAGAAGCGAAAGUGACGGUACCUGCAGAAGAAGCACCGGCUAACUACGUG